AGAGUUUGAUCCUGGCUCAGAACGAACGCUGGCGGCAGGCUUAACACAUGCAAGUCGAACGCGUGUAGCAAUACACGAGUGGCGCACGGGUGAGUAACACGUGGAUUAUCUGCCUCUUGGUUCGGAAUAACCCCGGGAAACUGGGGCUAAUACCGAAUGGUUCCUACGGGAUAAAGAUUUAUCGCCAAGAGAUGAGUCCGCGUCCGAUUAGCUAGUUGGUGGGGUAACGGCCUACCAAGGCGACGAUCGGUAGCUGGUCUGAGAGGACGAUCAGCCACACUGGGACUGAGACACGGCCCAGACUCCUACGGGAGGCAGCAGUGGGGAAUAUUGGACAAUGGGGGCAACCCUGAUCCAGCCAUGCCGCGUGAGUGAUGAAGGCCUUCGGGUUGUAAAGCUCUUUUGGCGGGGACGAUGAUGACGGUACCCGCAGAAUAAGCCCCGGCUAACUUCGUGCCAGCCGCCGCGGUAAUUC
rnacentral:rRNA from 1 species